rnacentral:rRNA from 1 species
AACGAACGCUGGCGGCAGGCCUAACACAUGCAAGUCGAGCGAAGCCUUCGGGCUUAGCGGCGGACGGGUGAGUAACGCGUGGGAACGUGCCCUUUGGUACGGAAUAGCCCCGGGAAACUGGGAGUAAUACCGUAUGUGCCCUUCGGGGAAAGAUUUAUCGCCAAAGGAUCGGCCCGCGUUGGAUUAGGUAGUUGGUGGGGUAAUGGCCUACCAAGCCGACGAUCCAUAGCUGGUUUGAGAGGAUGAUCAGCCACACUGGGACUGAGACACGGCCCAGACUCCUACGGGAGGCAGCAGUGGGGAAUCUUAGACAAUGGGGGAAACCCUGAUCUAGCCAUGCCGCGUGAUCGAUGAAGGCCUUAGGGUUGUAAAGAUCUUUCAGUGGGGAAGAUAAUGACUGUACCCACAGAAGAAGCCCCGGCUAACUCCGUGCCAGCAGCCGCUGUAACAC